rnacentral:rRNA from 1 species
AUUGAACGCUGGCGGCAUGCUUUACACAUGCAAGUCGAACGGUAACAGGCCUUCCGGUGCUGACGAGUGGCGAACGGGUGAGUAAUGCAUCGGAACGUGCCCUGAGCUGGUGGAUAACGCAGCGAAAGCUGUGCUAAUACCGCAUGUUAUCUGAUGUUGUAAGCGGGGGACCAAGCAGCAAUGUUUGGCCUCUCGCCUCUGUAGCGGCCGAUGUCAGAUUAUGUAGUUGGUGGGGUAAAGGCCUACCAAGCCGACGAUCUGUAGCUGGACUGAGAGAACGAACAGCGACAAUGGGAAGGAGAAAAGGCGAAGAAGACUAAGGGAGGAAGCAGUGGGGAAUAAGAGAGAACGAGGGAAAGACUGAUACAGCAAAGCAGCGUGAGGGAAGAAGGACGUAGGGUUGGAAAGAGCUUUUGUACGGAAAGAAAAGGAUCUGGCUAAUAGCUGGGGCUGAUGACGGUAGCGGAAGAAUAAGCACCGGCUAACUACGUG